GCCUCUGUAGCUCAGUUGGUAAGAGCGCCUGGUUGAAGCCCAGGAGGUCGGUGAAUCGAAAUCACCUGGAGGCACCA
rnacentral:tRNA from 1 species